rnacentral:rRNA from 1 species
AAGAAAAAUUUAAGGAAGUAAUUAAUUAAACCAAUAAAGUUUGGCAGUUAAAAACUUUUAGAGAAAUUUGUUUCUUAAUCGUAAACACUCGAUAAAUUUAACUUUUAGUAAAAAUUUAUAUACCGCCGUUAUAGAAAUAAAAUAAAUGAAAUAUCAAAAUAAAAUAAAAUUAAAAAAUCAGGUCAAGGUAUAAUCCAUCCAAAAGUAGAAAUUAAUUACACAUAAAAAAAAAUUAAGAAAUUCAAAACAAAAACUUUAAAGAAAAAGAAUCUACAAACAAAGAAUUAAAUUAAAAAUUCAAAUUGAAAUAUUAUAUUUUAAUGC